UACGGGGGGGGCAAGCGUUGUUCGGAUUCACUGGGCGUAAAGGGUGCGUAGGUGGUGAGGUAAGUCGGAUGUGAAAUCUCCGGGCUCAACCCGGAAAUGGCAUUGGAAACUACCUUGCUGGAGGAUUUGAGGGGGGAUUGGAAUUCCCAGUGUAGCGGUGAAAUGCGUAGAUAUUGGGAAGAACACCGGUGGCGCAAGCGACUCGCUGGGCCGCAACUGACGCUGAGGAACGAAAGCUAGGGGAGCGAAUGGG
rnacentral:rRNA from 1 species